rnacentral:rRNA from 1 species
AUUGAACGCUGGCGGCAGGCCUAACACAUGCAAGUCGAACGAGUGGCGGACGGGUGAGUAAUGUCUGGGAAACUGCCUGAUGGAGGGGGAUAACCACUGGAAACGGUAGCCAAUACCGCACACCAUCAGAUGUGCCCAGAUGGGAUUAGCUUGUUGGUGGGGUAACGGCUCACCAAGGCUGAGAUCCCUCGCUGGUCCGAGAGGAGGACCGGCCACACUGGAACGGGGACACGGUCCAGACUCCUACGGGAGGCAGCAGUGGGGAAUAUUGCACAAGGGGCGCAAGCCUUAUGCAGCCAUGCCGGGUGUAUGAAGAAGGCCUUCGGGUUGUAAAGUACUUUCAGCGGGGAGGCGUUACCCGAAGAAGAAGCACCGGCUAACUCCGUGCCAGCAGCCGCGGUAAUUC